rnacentral:rRNA from 1 species
GGGCGUAAGCGCGCGCAGGCGGUUUCUUAAGUCUGAUGUGAAAGCCCCCGGCUCAACCGGGGAGGGUCAUUGGAAACUGGGGAACUUGAGUGCAGAAGAGGAGAGUGGAAUUCCACGUGUAGCGGUGAAAUGCGUAGAGAUGUGGAGGAACACCAGUGGCGAAGGCGACUCUCUGGUCUGUAACUGACGCUGAGGCGCGAAAGCGUGGGGAGCGAACAGGAUUAGAU